AAAAAGCCCUUUAAUAAUGGAAUUAAUUGAUUCAACAUCUAUCAAUUGAAAAAUUCAGAUUGUGCGCAGGUUAAAGGCUGAAAAGAAAAUUUGUGGUUUUUGUCAAAAACAAGUCUUACGUACGAUGAGUACUCCGCCCAUUCAUGAGAAGGAGCAAUAUUCUGAACCAGAUUGGAUGAAAUGGGCUACAGAUCCCCGUUCUAUAGGAUGUAACCAAGUUGAUUACAAAUUCCCUCACCCCUACGGCCGCACUCCCAUCUAUCCUCCUUGGGAACUCAAAGUUCCUCACCCACACCCCUAUUUUCGUGACUUUCUAUCCUCAACCAGGUCUUUCAAUCCUCCGAGGAACACAAGCAGGUCUUUCAAUCUUCUGAGGAACACAAGCAGCUCUUUGAACCCUCUGAGAAACAUGAGAAGGAAUAUCUUUACUUCGCUCCUGGGUACUACAAAAUUGAGUUUCUCGAGUCUUUUCCUACCCCCACAGAAGAAGGGUUAGAUAAAGGGUGGUAUGAUACAACACCCUGGAAUGAAGGAUUUUGUAAUCACUCAAAGGAUAUACCUAUUUCAACUGAUGAAGCUUUUGUAAGUCUCUGAUACUCAUUAACUCACUUUUUUAUGCUCAAGAUGAACAAUAUCAUAUAACAUAACAAGAAUAUACAAAUGCUACGUGUGUUUAUUUCCUCAUUGGAUGAAUAUAUGUAUCAUUU